GAUGAACGCUGGCGGCGUGCCUAAUACAUGCAAGUCGAGCGAACAGACGAGGAGCUUGCUCCUCUGACGUUAGCGGCGGACGGGUGAGUAACACGUGGAUAACCUACCUAUAAGACUGGGAUAACUUCGGGAAACCGGAGCUAAUACCGGAUAAUAUCUUGAACCGCAUGGUUCAAUAGUGAAAGACGGUUUUGCUGUCACUUAUAGAUGGAUCCGCGCCGCAUUAGCUAGUUGGUAAGGUAACGGCUUACCAAGGCAACGAUGCGUAGCCGACCUGAGAGGGUGAUCGGCCACACUGGAACUGGGACACGGUCCAGACUCCUACGGGAGGCAGCAGUAGGGAAUCUGCCGCAAUGGGCGAAAGCCUGACGGAGCAACGCCGCGUGAGUGAUGAAGGUCUUCGGAUCGUAAAACUCUGUUAUGAGGGAAGAACAAAUGUGUAAGUAACUAUGCACGUCUUGACGGUACCUAAUCAGAAAGCCACGGCUAACUACGUG
rnacentral:rRNA from 1 species